GAUGAACGCUGGCGGCGUGCCUAAUACAUGCCAGUCGAGCGAACGGACGAGAAGCUUGCUUCUCUGAUGUUAGCGGCGGACGGGUGAGUAACACGUGGAUAACCUACCUAUACGACUGGGAUAACUUCGGGAAACCGGAGCUAAUACCGGAUAAUAUUUUGAACCGCAUGGUUCAAAAGUGAAAGACGGUCUUGCUGUCACUUAUAGAUGGAUCCGCGCUGCAUUAGCUAGUUGGUAAGGUAACGGCUUACCAAGGCAACGAUGCAUAGCCGACCUGAGAGGGUGAUCGGCCACACUGGAACUGAGACACGGUCCAGACUCCUACGGGAGGCAGCAGUAGGGAAUCUUCCGCAAUGGGCGAAAGCCUGACGGAGCAACGCCGCGUGAGUGAUGAAGGUCUUCGGAUCGUAAAACUCUGUUAUUAGGGAAGAACAUAUGUGUAAGUAACUGUGCACAUCUUGACGGUACCUAAUCAGAAAGCAACGGCUAACUACGUG
rnacentral:rRNA from 1 species